GACGAACGCUGGCGGCGUGCUUAACACAUGCAAGUCGAGCGGUAAGGCCUUUCGGGGUCCACGAGCGGCGAACGGGUGAGUAACACGUGGGUGAUCUGCCCUGCACUUCGGGAUAAGCCUGGGAAACUGGGUCUAAUACCGGAUAUGACCUCCUAUCGCAUGGUGGGUGGUGGAAAGAUUUAUCGGUGCAGGAUGGGCCCGCGGCCUAUCAGCUUGUUGGUGGGGUAAUGGCCUACCAAGGCGACGACGGGUAGCCGACCUGAGAGGGUGACCGGCCACACUGGGACUGAGACACGGCCCAGACUCCUACGGGAGGCAGUAGUGGGGAAUAUUGCACAAUGGGCGAAAGCCUGAUGCAGCGACGCCGCGUGAGGGAUGACGGCCUUCGGGUUGUAAACCUCUUUCAGCAGGGACGAAGCGCAAGUGACGGUACCUGCAGAAGAAGCACCGGCUAACUACGUG
rnacentral:rRNA from 1 species